rnacentral:rRNA from 1 species
GAUCCUGGCUCAGAUUGAACGCUGGCGGCGUGCCUAAUACAUGCAAGUAGAACGCUGAAGGAGGAGCUUGCUUCUCUGGAUGAGUUGCGAACGGGUGAGUAACGCGUAGGUAACCUGCCUGGUAGCGGGGGAUAACUAUUGGAAACGAUAGCUAAUACCGCAUAAGAGUAGAUGUUGCAUGACAUUUGCUUAAAAGGUGCAAUUGCAUCACUACCAGAUGG